rnacentral:lncRNA from 1 species
UCAAGGAGAAGAGCAGUGAAGCCGCCGAGGUUACGGAGGCUGUUGCAGUCAAGGAGGCCUAAUCAAGCCGAGAGUUAGUAGUGUUUCUCACUGCUCUUACGCUCAUGUAUUACCUACCACUCGUUUCUGCUUCUUUUACUACCUGUAAUAAGAUGUCACCAACAUCCUCCUGUUAUACAAAAAAAUACCGAAAUUAUCUAUAAACUACAUUAAAGCUGGUUAUGUAUGUGACUUCAAGAACACUGGAAACAUAUUAGCAAGCCAAAGUGAAAGCUACAUCGAGAUCUUUUCAAAAUGUUUUACAACCUCAAAAAGUUUCCCUCACGUGUUAAAUCGUGUGCAUACCCACUUACAUGGCGUACUGCUUAUUCUUUACUAUGUAUAGCAACAUCGUUCAUAUGCACUGGCUAUAGUUACUUACCCGCUGCUCGAUAAGAAGUUACAGCGUAGCUUCACUCUAUAUUUCAAUUACAUUGAUUGAGGUUUUGAAUCAUUUUCUUUCAAGUAAUUGCUCAACUGAAAUAUUGAUCGAGGUUUUGAAUCAUUUUCUUUCACGUAGUUGCUCAACUGAAUUCAUCAGACGAGGAUCUUGAAGAUGAAGGUUGCAUCGAAAUCAUAAAGAAACGUAAAUUUUCUGAAGCUAAACAUACGCCAUAGGAGAUACAAAAAUGUUAUAUAGGGUAAAAUCGAAAAUGUCAAAUACAUGUAAAAGAGAAUAUAAUAAACCUCUUUCUUAAUCCCUUGCAAAAUAUUAUAUUGGUAAAACGAAUCAGUAAAAAAAACAUGGUGUGGCUUAUGGCAAAUCUUCUUUAUACACUGCCUUUUGCUCACUAAAACAUGUUCUUCUUUUCAGACAAGGGUAAAGGCAGAUUGUACCGUGGACUGGAACCGUGAUGCGAUUGUCUGUGAGGCAAACUGCUGAAACUGUUUCUUUGCAUCUGCCAACAAAUAAAAAGUGUUAAGUCUAAUGAUCUAUAGCCCAUUUGACUAUUAUAAGGGCUAUACUGGAAUGGAUCUUACCUUUCUUGCACUUUGUGAAGCCGAUGAUAUUAGCCGCGUUAAGGGACAAGCAAACGCCGACAACAAGCAGAUAGUCGGCCUGAAACCUUAUCAGUGAAAAUAUCCCAAGGACUAACCACGCAGCUGCCUGAAGAUAGGACAAACAAAAAACAAGAUUCAGCUGCGGUAAAAGACAGCAUAAUGUUUUCACAAGUUUGUAAUUGCUGACGCUAGAACACUAAACCCAUUGCUACCACCAUCUCAAGGCUCAUUCUUACUCUCUAUAGGUCGCCUUGUAAUGCAACUGAGCCUAUAGGGUUUUAAGCUACCAACUAUUAGUCAAUCUGAUAAUGCAGGAUCAUAGGAUAUACUAAUGCAAUUUCAACAUGCACAAUAACAGUGGUCAACUUUUAGUCCCCCAGAUUACUUCUCCCUAAUCUCCCUAUUUUGCAAUGUGUAUGCGGGUGAUUGACUCAAAUGUCAAUUGCCACUAACUCAGAAGGAGAAUCGUUUGUCACAAACUCAUAGAUAAAAACUCAUUUAAACGUUAGCUUGUUGGUGGGAUGAGAGAAGUCAGCGAUCUAUAUAUGGUUAGUGUGGGAUACUAAAAGACAGCUUCGAAAUUCGUCUCACCGUUUGCAAAACAUUUGCUUCAUCAUUAGGGUCAUGUUCAUUCUUUCCUAUUCUUACUUCUACUCCUCCACUAAAGUUCCGGUGAGUGAAAAGUGACAAGCUCAUAGGCAAGUAAGCAUAGAUAGGAACAACUAGUUGAAACAUUUGGGGUCGUGUUCAUUAUUGCCCGUUCUUACUACUAAUCCUAAUGCUCCACAAAAGUUUCAGGUGCAUUGCAAACAGGUUUAAGCGAUAAGCUACAAACUGUAGUCAAAGAUAGGAACUACUCACUGCAAGGUAAAGCGUCCACCAGAAAAGCCAGGAGUCUUUCUUGUUCAUCCGAGCCAAGGACUGAUACACAGACAAACGAAAUAAAUGAGGUAAAAACUAGUAAGAAUUUUUUGCUUAAUGAAUAAAGUAAAAAGUAAAAGCAUUAAGCAAAAAAGAGAGGGCUAACCUCCUGGUCAAGAGACUCAAACUUCCAGACACUUUCACCCAAGUCAUUGAUCUCGUUCCACCACCUGAGACCAACAAGUAUACGCCCACUCACAUUCUUAACCACCCAGAAGUCAAGUGCCGCGAGAAGAACAGUCACCACAAAGAUAAUAACAAAGCUGUUGAAGAAGAGAGCCGAGAGAAUGUAAAACGCCAACGCAGCACCCUGCCCCCAAAAACAAACUUGUUACCAUUCUCCACCUCACUUAUAAAAAAAAGUCUAAAAAGACUCAUACUCAGGCUCAUCAUACCUUGAAGAGAACAUGGAAGAGACACGUCUUCGGAUUCGCAUAGUUUUCAACUGGUGGCUGCAUUGAAUUAACAACGAGAAUAAUCACAUCUGAGUCUAAUUAAACCGAUUCUUAACAUAGCAUUUCUAUCUAGCUCAAGCCUUCCAAAUUCUAAUGUCUACACACACAUUCUCCUCCGAGACGAAUUCGAAGAGCACAGAUCUAACACAAUCACGUCCAGAUCGAGCAGCUAAUCGAGCUUAAUCAAGAAUCGGAUAAGCAAUCUAGCUCAGAAAUUAAUCAUUCACCUGGUUAGGAUCCAUCUUUCGAAGUAUCCGAAUGUAUCAACCCCGACGCCGAUCAGAAGAUGGAAUCCUAAUACUGAUCUUCCCUCCGAGAAAAUUAUCUUCGUUCGGUACCAGCAGAUCUUCAAACUCUUGCGCGUGUUUUCUUAGCGUUUUAAUUCUAAUCUAUAGGCCCAAGUGAGUGUCCUUUAUAGCCCAUUAGGCCCAAUAUAAAAGGUUGGGUUAAGAAUCUAGUACAAAUAUCAAUGCCUUAACACACACGUAACAAGAUUUCACUAAUGUCAAACCCUAAAAGAGACCUAACAUAGUUUGUUUUUCUUUCUUGCUUCACCAUCUGGCUGAAAAUCUAGUAUAGAUAUAGGUUCCUUAGUACGCACAUAAAGAUCUAACACUUUCAAACCCUAAAAAACAGAAUCUAGUACAAACUGUCUUUUCACCUACAUUUUUGGCUACAAUAUCUCGUUUUCAGGUUACAUUGUUCACAACAAUAAUUGUUGUGUGUUGAUGAUUGCCAUAGUCACCCAUAACCUGCUCAACCAUGCCCAUUAAUGCAUUUUACAUGCACCGUAUACCACACAACCUAUAUAUAACAAGGUUAAGUCGCCUCUUAUCACAACACACAACUUCAGCUUUGAGGUAAAGCUUAAACUAAAAAAACAGAGCAGAGAUGGGUUUGGUCACACAGGAGGUGAGAGCUAAGGCAGAGAAGUACACCGGAGAUGAGAUAUGCCGAGAGAAGACAAAAGUCUUCCUCAAGGAAAUAUCUAUGCCUAAUGGUUUACUACCGUUGAAGGACAUUGAAGAGGUAGAACUGGAGAAUCUUAUGUAACUUGAUUUGUCUGUACAGUCUUAUAUUAUGGGUCAAAAAAUUUAAUUACAUGUUUGGUUGCGUUCCUCACGUUAUUCAAGCAUGAUGUUUGAUAUUUAUAUGUUCCAGGUUAAGCCUGCCCUGCCAGUUCUUCGGCAACUUAUCUAUCUAAAUGAUGAAGAAGUUCUCACAGAUGCCUGCUGGGCUCUAUCUUACCUUUCAGAUGGCCCCAAUGAUAAGAUCCAAGCUGUGAUCCAGGCUGGUGUUUGUCCACUACUUGUGGAGCUUCUGAGGUUAGCUCAAUUUUGCUAUAUUAUUGCUAUAUUAGCUGGUCUUGUAGUUUUGUUCUUCAGAUUCUUAUCCCCCAACAAUGGUGUUUGACAUUUUCAAAUUUGUGAUGUUUUUAAUACCUCUUAGAAAUUGAGUGUUAGUGUACUGACUAAUAUAUAUAUAUAUAUAUAUAUUUCUUCAAGUCAUCCAUCACCUACGGUUCUCAUUCCUGCGCUUCGAACUGUUGGGAACAUUGUAACUGGUGAUGACUCUCAGACACUGGUAUGAUCUGUGAAGAAUGUUUCUAUAUAAUGUUUGAUUGUUUUGUUUAACAUUUUGACAGCAGCUGUGUUUUUGCUUUUCAGUUUAUAAUUGAUAGUGGAGCUUCUGAGGUUAGUUCCUUUCCGAGGAUGGACUUGUAACAAAAAAUGGUGGUUAAGAAGGUAGUUAAGGAGAUUUACCAACCAGUUUUAUAAGGAUUGUUAGCUACGCUCAAAUGUUUAGAGUAUAUAUAUAUGGUGCAUCUCUCUUUUAAGUUUCAUAUCUGAAAACCAUUUUCAAACAAAGAAUGAGUACUCCUCUCACAUCUUCCUAAGUUUAAAGGUUAUAACAGUUGAGCUGUUACUUCGAAACAAUAUAUUUGAGAUGUCAUGCAUAAUGAUAAAACUUGAAAUAAUAAUAAGAUUUGAUUUGAUUUGAUUGGACCAAGUUUAUAGUGAAACAGUACCAAGGCAUCAAGUUUCAAGAUAGUAAGGUGACAAAUCACAAUCAGUAAGUUAGACGUUGGAACUCUUGUAAUUAUGUGAACUACAAUGUUUACUUGAAUUCUAAAGAUAUUAUUCAAUUCGAUUUAUACCAAAAAUAAUUGAGGACACAACGGUUACUGGUUAGCUGUUGAAGAAAAGGUGAGUUGAUAGGCCCUGCAUUUACACGCAGAGGGCCAUGCAUGCACCAUCUAUCAUAUAACAAGUAACAACAAUAAUUGCUAUCACUAUUGUCUGAUGAUGAUUACUAUAGUCACCCAUAGACCUGCCCAACCAUGUCCAUUAAUGCUUUCUCCAUGUACCGCAUACCACACAACCUAUAUAUAACAAGGUUAAGUCGCCUCUUACCACAACACACAACUUCAGCUUUGAGGUAAAGCGUAAACUUUAAAAGAAAAACAGAACAGAGAUGGGUUUGGUCACAGAGGAGGUGAGAGCUAAGGCAGAGAAGUACACCGGAGAUGAGAUAUGCCGAGAGAAAACAAAAGUCUUCCUCAAGGAAAUAUCUAUGCCCAAUGGCUUACUACCGUUGAAGGACAUUGAAGAGGUUGGGUACGACAGAGAGUCAGGUGUUGUGUGGCUGAAGCAGAAACAGAGCAUCACCCACAAGUUCGAAACGAUCGAUAAGCUUGUCUCCUACGGAACCGAGGUCACUGCCGUUGUCCAGACGGGUAAGAUCAAGAAGCUCACUGGAGUCAAGGCCAAGGAGCUUCUCAUCUGGGUCAGUGUCAGUGAGAUCUAUACAGAGGAGAAAGAGAAGAUCACGUUCAAGUCACCAACCACACUGUCCAGGACUUUCCCUGUCCCAGCUUUUAUUGUCCCAGAGGAAGUGGAACCUGCCAAGGAAGAACCUGUCAAGGAGAAGAGCAGUGAAGCCGCCGAGGUUACGGAGGCUGUUGCAGUCAAGGAGGCCUAAUCAAGCCGAGAGUUAGUAGUGUUUCUCACUGCUCUUACGCUCAUGUAUUACCUACCACUCGUUUCUGCUUCUUUUACUACCUGUAAUAAGAUGUCACCAACAUCCUCCUGUUAUACAAAAAAAUACCGAAAUUAUCUAUAAACUACAUUAAAGCUGGUUAUGUAUGUGACUUCAAGAACACUGGAAACAUAUUAGCAAGCCAAAGUGAAAGCUACAUCGAGAUCUUUUCAAAAUGUUUUACAACCUCAAAAAGUUUCCCUCACGUGUUAAAUCGUGUGCAUACCCACUUACAUGGCGUACUGCUUAUUCUUUACUAUGUAUAGCAACAUCGUUCAUAUGCACUGGCUAUAGUUACUUAC